UUUCCGUAGGUGAACCUGCGGAAGGAUCAUUAUCGAGACGUUUGGCCGCGAGGCCGACUCUCCCGUUCUAUGUCAUCAAGCUCCGGACGCGUCGCGAGACGGGUGCCGGUUCAGAUCGUUUCGGUGGAGGCGUUGUUCGAGAUGGGGGCGACCGUAUCCCUCUCGAGCGACCGCCACCGCAGGAGGGGUGGGCAAUUCUUGCAGAAAUGAAGUCUGAAGACACAUCAAUGAAGCAAAACUUUCAACAACGGAUCUCUUGGCUCUGGCAUCGAUGAAGAACGCAGC
rnacentral:misc_RNA from 1 species